rnacentral:misc_RNA from 1 species
ACUUGUUAUUUUGCUAAGCAGUUUGACUCUCUCCGGAAGAAAUGCUGCCCUAGUGAAGUUGAUUUUGUUCGUUCAUUGAGUCGCUGCCAGAGAUGGAGUGCGGAAGGGGGAAAAAGCAAUGUAUAUUUUGCCAAGUCGUUGGAUGAGAGAUUCAUUAUAAAACAAGUUAUAAAGACUGAGCUGGACUCUUUUGAGGAAUUUGCAUCAGAAUACUUCACAUACUUGACCGAUUCUCUUAGUUCAGGAAGUCCAACUUGUCUUGCGAAAGUUCUUGGUAUUUAUCAGGUUACUAUAAAGCACUUGAAAGGCGGCAAAGAAAUGAAAAUGGAUCUUAUGGUGAUGGAAAAUCUGUUUUUUGGGAGAAGUAUUGCAAGGGUCUAUGAUCUGAAGGGUUCGGCCCGAUCACGCUAUAAUCCAGAUACAAAUGGGAAUAACAAAGUAUUGUUAGACAUGAAUCUGGUAGAAAAACUUUGUACAGAGCCCAUAUUUCUUGGAAGCAAGGCAAAGAGAAGCCUGGAGAGAGCCAUAUGGAAUGAUACUUAUUUUUUGGCAUCUGUUGAUGUUAUAGACUACUCUUUGCUGGUUGGAGUGGACGAUGAGAGAAAGGAGCUGGUUUUAGGUAUCAUUGAUUUCAUGAGACAAUAUACAUGGGAUAAGCAUUUGGAGACAUGGGUUAAGGC